rnacentral:lncRNA from 1 species
GUUGAUUGUAGCAUUGUUGGGUUCUUUGAUAAAGAGUGGCUUUCAAAGCUUCUUAAGGUUUCGGGUUCAGACAUUGUUGAUGUAAUGACACUUCAUUUGUAUAAUUUGGACCAGAAAUUUGAUUGAAGGGUGCAUGUUGAUAUGGUUGUGUGGAUGGCUUCACGAGCCUUUAGGUUGGAACAAGUCGCCAUAGAUUCUGCCAUAGUAGGGAUGUUGUGUGACCCAAUGGAACCCAAAGGAGGUUCAAAAUCUACCGACCAAUGUGGAUUGAUCGCAUUCCCAAUGUCGUUAAAGCAGCUUGGAACAAGAAAUGAACAAAUUUAAUGCUUUAGAAGGGUGGAAUGGAGCUACCUCAACGUUUUGGCUAUAUCUUCACUUGAGCCCAGCAAUGAAGGCCGGAAAGGCCACAAGAGCAGAGUUUAAUCCUUAACUGCUGAUGGAUUUUUUCAUGGUAGCAAUACAUACACUAGGAAACUAAGGUCAUUCUUUAUUUACUUCAACUAGAAUUGACAAUUUUGACCUGAUUAUUAUGAUGGGUUAACCAUGUUAUAUUUAUUUCAACUAGAACUGACAAUUUUGACCAGAGUUUAGUCAGUAAUGUGUGUUUAAUUGUUUACUUAUGCAUGUGAGGUUUAUUUUGGAAGAGCAUCAACCUUGAGUCACAGUUGUAAAGUUGGCACAAACUCAUGUUCUAAAG